rnacentral:lncRNA from 1 species
GAUCUGGCAGGCAGCGAGAGAGCUGCUCAAACAGGAGCUGAAGGUGCUGUGUAUCAUCUCAUGCAGUGACGGUCGGUUUUCACAUUGGUCUACUCUAAUCAGGUGUGCAAUUCAAGGAGUCUGUAAUAUAAAUCAAAGCUUAUUUGGGGACAAGUGAUCAAGAAACUAAGUGAUAAACUGGGUAAGUUUAUUCCAUUAGUCUAUUGUUGAGGGUUUUCAUUGGGUUAAAAAUA